rnacentral:rRNA from 1 species
UCGAGAAUCUUCGGCAAUGGGCGAAAGCCUGACCGAGCGACGCCGCGUGAAUGAUGACGCCCUUCGGGGUGUAAAGUUCUUUUUUAGGGGAAGAACAAAUGACGGUACCCUAAGAAUAAGCUCUUGCUAACCUCGUGCCAGCAGCCGCGGUAAUACGAGGAGAGCAAACGUUAUCCGGAAUUAUUGGGCGUAAAGCGUGCGCAAGCGGUUUUGUAAGUGAUGUGUUAAAUUCCAACGCUCAACGUUGGAACUGCGCGUCAUACUGCAAGACUCGAGUCAAGUAGAGGCAAACGGAAUUCCCGGUGUAGUAGUGAAAUGCGUUAAUAUCGGGAGGAACGCCAAAAGCGAAAGCAGUUUGCUGGGCUUGUACUGACGCCGUUGCACGACAGCGUGGGGAUCA